UGAAUACCAUGGAUGGUGAUGAUGAGAGAUGCGUGCAUGUGGCGGCAGAUAGGAGAAUAGGCAAGCUGAUGGGAUCAAUGACAGGAAUGGAGAGAAGGGACCUGUCUACGGAUAUGAGAGUUGCCACUAGGAGGCAAAGAAAAGAAACUUGCUGAGGAUCAGAGCCGUGCCCGGCAUCAGUGGAGAGGGCAUGCUCAUCUCAGUCCAAAAUCACCGAUGGGAGACUGAACGCCUGUGUGGCUGCAUGCCCGCUCAGGGGCCCGGCUGCACACACAGGCCUUGCUCCGAUGAGUUCUGGAUCCGCUCUCCUGAGCUCGUGAGUGAUGCCAGAGCAAUAUCCAACAGAGGUUUGACCAAAAUCUUGGUGCAGUGGCCUAGCCAAACUGACACAUGAAGUCAACCAUCACAGAGGCCCAGCGAGAGUGCAACAUUGAGUAAAUUCCCAGGCUGGCGAUGACCCAGGAGAGCACCCCUGUCUGGGUACAGAGAACCUGGAUGAGGCAAAAGAGAAAGGAGUGCGCCUCAGCGCUGUGAUGGCAGAAGUGUGUGCCAACUUGGGUAAUACUUUUUCUCAUGUACUUUCUGUUUUUUCUCUGUCUGGGCGCUAGCACAGGAAGUCUAAAAGAAGAAAACAAACCCCGGUCUUUCCUACCUAUUUUCAGUUGACUAGUGCUUGCCCCAGUGUUCCUUUGUGAC
rnacentral:lncRNA from 1 species